GGAAGAUUGGCAGAGUGGUUGAAUGCAGCGCUUUGCUAAAGCGUAGGACGGUAAAACGUUCCAUAGGUUCGAAUCCUAUAUCUUCCG
rnacentral:tRNA from 1 species